GCCAUUUUCUGACAUUUGAAAAGAUCUGAAGAUACGCCCCUUGGAUGCCUGCAGAGAAGCUCUGGGGCUUCAGUCAAUGACUCAGGGUAGCCACCGAACAUGAUGCUCGGGCAGUGGGUGCCACCUGGACUCCACUCUCCCCUCUCUCUGGGAUCAUAGAGUCCAAGGUGUUCUGUGGCCUCUCGGCCAAUCCCAGCAGCUCAGCGUGCAGAAGACCGAGGAGCCAUUGGAAAAGAAAAAGAGAACAUAUAUCCCCCUACCUUUUGAUUUCCAACAGUCUACUGAGAGGCCAAGAUUAUUUGCAGGGAAAGAAAAGGGGUCAAAAUGUUUUGCCAGUAACUCCCAAAUCAUCUACAGCCAAGGAGAAAAGUGUUUCAAGACAGAGGUGCUCAAUGGUAUCAAAUACUGCCAACAGACCAAGUAAUACAUGCAUUGAAGUGUCUACUGGAUCUAGCUAUAUGAAUUUUUAAUUUAGGACACUUAGGCCAUACUGAAGCAAGGUGACAAAAUGAAUAGCUACAAUGUCUCGUGAAUCUUGGGUUUCCAUUCACCCUGGUAUUCAAGAGAAAUUCUUGCAUCAUGGAAGUUGCAGUUGGAUAGGACUUUCUCAGCUGAACACUGUCAUCUGCCAGAGCUUCAG
rnacentral:lncRNA from 10 species